GCGCUCAUAGCUCAGCUGGAUAGAGCACUUGGCUACGAACUAAGGGGUCGGGAGUUCGAAUCUCUCU
rnacentral:tRNA from 1 species